UGGCGGCUUUAGCGCGGUGGUCCCACCUGACCCCAUACCGAACUCAGAAGUGAAACGCCGUAGCGCCGAUGGUAGUGUGGGGUCUCCCCAUGCGAGAGUAGGGAACUGCCA
rnacentral:rRNA from 1 species